rnacentral:rRNA from 1 species
AACGAACGCUGGCGGCAUGCCUAACACAUGCAAGUCGAACGAUGCUUUCGGGCAUAGUGGCGCACGGGUGCGUAACGCGUGGGAAUCUGCCCUUGGGUUCGGAAUAACAGUGAGAAAUUGCUGCUAAUACCGGCUGAUGUCUUCGGACCAAAGAUUUAUCGCCCAGGGAUGAGCCCGCGUAGGAUUAGCUAGUUGGUGGGGUAAUGGCCUACCAAGGCGACGAUCCUUAGCUGGUCUGAGAGGAUGAUCAGCCACACUGGGACUGAGACACGGCCCAGACUCCUACGGGAGGCAGCAGUGGGGAAUAUUGGACAAUGGGCGCAAGCCUGAUCCAGCAAUGCCGCGUGAGUGAUGAAGGCCUUAGGGUUGUAAAGCUCUUUUACCCGGGAUGAUAAUGACAGUACCGGGAGAAUAAGCUCCGGCUAACUCCGUG